GGAAUCGAAAUCGUGGUUUUGUUUCACUGGAUUUGAGUGGAAUGUUGAAAUUUCUAAUUCACGGUCUGUUCUAGUUAGUCUUCGCAGGGCUGGAGCUGUCCCAGUUAUGGUACUGGGAGGAUCUGGGGUGACUGAGGCAGGAUCAUUGUUUUCCGGUGCCUCUGCUAUAGCUUUCAUAUACGUCCUUCUCAGGAUAGCGUUUUUCUUCAAAAGGGAAUACUCAAUCUUAGGUCUUAGGUCUAAUUAUAAUUUUUUUACAGAUUGGUCUUUGGUUUUACAGAUUUAUAAAUUCUCAAGUCAUUUUUCUUGCAAUUAUUCCUUUUCUUUAUCAAUUUUAGUUUUGUUAUAUGUUUUCUAUACAGUCGGAUCUAAUCGAACUUCUAUAUAGUAAAAUUAAUUAACAUGAAAAUUAUGGGGUCUU